rnacentral:lncRNA from 1 species
AAACCCUGUCUUCAUACUUUUGUGCUGUUUGAUUUUUGUUACUCAGAUUUGAGAAUAAGGCGGCAGCAGUCCUCCGAGAGCAUGUCCAGUAUCAACAGCGCGGCCAGUCACUCCAGUCUGGGCAGUCUGGGCAAAGAUGCAGAGGACAAGAAGAAGAAGAAGAAAAGCUGGGUGGCAGACUCCAUCCCAGCUCAGCUGCGCAGUUCGUUCAAGCACGCGUUCAGUAAGAAGAAGACCAAGUCCCAGUCGGGCCACGACGAGAUGGAGGAGAUGAGCGACUCCCUGCCGUCUUCGCCCAAACUGCAGCAUGACAACAGGCAGGGCAGCAUCGCCACGCUGCGCUCCUCGCCCUCCACCACCGAGUACGUCUCAUCUGCGUCUCCCACCAAACGUCUCUAUUUUGAGUUUGAACUUUAUGUUGUCUUCUGGAUAGGAAUGCACAAUAGCAAAAUGAAUGGGCAGACCUUUAAGGACACAAGAAACCACUGUCCUGUUUCCAAAAGGAAUUUUUGAACUCACUGUUCACCAUUGGCUCAUUAGUACGUGAUAUUUUGGCACACCCGUAUAUAAUAAAGUGAAAUCUAUUUUGCCCCCCUGUAGUGUUUCGUUCGCAGACAUAUGUGGGGAGAAAAAGUGCUGCCUGGCG